AUUGAACGCUGGCGGCUGGCCUAACACAUGCAAGUCGAACGAGUGGCGGACGGGUGAGUAAUGUCUGGGAAACUGGCUGAGUGAGGGGGAUAACUACGGGAAACGGUAGCUCAUACCGCUUACCAUCGGAUGACCCCUCUUGGGAUUAGGUAGUUGGUGAGGUAAAGGCUAACCAAGCCGACGAUCUCUAGCUGGUCUGAGAGGCUGACGAGCCACUCGAGAGCUGGGCCACGGCCCAGCCUCCUACGGUAGGCAGCAGUGGGGAAUAGUGCGCCAUGGGGGCAAGCCUGCCGCAGCCAUGCGGGGUGGAUGAAUAAGGCCUUCGGGGUGUAAAGUUCGUUCGGUUGCGAGGCGUUAGCUACAGAAGAAGCACCGGCUGACUCCGUGCCAGCCGCCGCGGUAAUUC
rnacentral:rRNA from 1 species